CCUACGGGAGGCAGCAGUGGGGAAUCUUGGACAAUGGGGGCAACCCUGAUCUAGCCAUGCCGCGUGAGUGAUGAAGGCCUUAGGGUCGUAAAGCUCUUUCGCCUGUGAUGAUAAUGACAGUAGCAGGUAAAGAAACCCCGGCUAACUCCGUGCCAGCAGCCGCGGUAAUACGGAGGGGGUUAGCGUUGUUCGGAAUUACUGGGCGUAAAGCGCGCGUAGGCGGAUUAGAAAGUUGGGGGUGAAAUCCCGGGGCUCAACCCCGGAACUGCCUCCAAAACUGCUAGUCUAGAG
rnacentral:rRNA from 1 species